CGGGUGAGUAAUACAUCGGAACGUGCCCUGUAGUGGGGGAUAACUAGUCGAAAGAUUAGCUAAUACCGCAUACGGCCUGAGGGUGAAAGUGGGGGACCGCAAGGCCUCAUGCUAUAGGAGCGGCCGAUGUCUGAUUAGCUAGUUGGUGGGGUAAAGGCCUACCAAGGCGACGAUCAGUAGCUGGUCUGAGAGGACGAUCAGCCACACUGGGACUGAGACACGGCCCAGACUCCUACGGGAGGCAGCAGGC
rnacentral:rRNA from 1 species